CCCUUAGAUGUUCUGGGCCGCACGCGCGCUACACUGAUGCAUUCAACGAGUUUCUUCCUGGUCCGAGAGGAAUGGGUAACCUUUUGAAAGUGCAUCGCGAUAGGGAUAGACUAUUGCAAUUAUUGGUCUUCAACGAGGAAUUCCUAGUAGACGUAGUUCAUCAGACUGCAUCGAUUACGUCCCUGCCCUUUGUACACACCGCCCGUCGCUCCUACCGAUUGAAUGCUCAGGUGAGCCAUUCGGACCUUCAUCAUGCCGGUUUCCGGUUUUGAUGAGGGAAAGUCUUGCGAACCUUAUCAUUUAGAGGAAGGAGAAGUCGUAACA
rnacentral:rRNA from 1 species